UUUUUAUAAUUUCAUUAUUUAAGAAAUUUUUAUUUAAAUAAUUAAAUAAAUAAAAUUAUUUUAUUGGGGCGAUAAAAAAAUUAAUUAAACUUUUUUAAAUAAAUUUAUUUUAAUUAAAAUUUUAUUUUAAAAGAGUUAUUAUUAAUAAUUAAAAGAAUAAAA
rnacentral:rRNA from 1 species